GAUGAACGCUGGCGGCGUGCCUAAUACAUGCAAGUCGAGCGAACAGACGAUGAGCUUGUUCCUUUCACGUUAGCGGCGGACGGGUGAGUAACACGUGGAUAACCUACCUAUAAGACUGGGAUAACCUCGGGAAACCGGAGCUAAUACCGGAUAAGAUAUUGAACCGCAUGGUUCAAUAGUGAAAUACGGCUGUGCUGUCUGGUAUCGAUGGAUCCGGGCCGCUUUAGCUAGUUGUGAGGGUAACGGCUUACCAAGGCAAGGAGGCGUAGCCGACCGGAGGGGGUGAUCGGCGGCCCGGGAAGGGGAACGCGGUCCAGACUACUACGGGAGGCAGCAGUAGGGAAUCUUACGCAAUGGGCGAGAGCCUGACGGAACAAGGGCGCGUGAGUGAUGAAGGUCUUCGGAUCGUAAAACUCUGUUAUUAGGGAAGAACAGAUGUGUAAGUAACUGUACACGUCUUGACGGUACCUAAUAAGAAAGCAACGGCUAACUACGUG
rnacentral:rRNA from 1 species